ensembl:lncRNA
GUUGAAUUCAUUGAACAUUAAGCUAACUUUAGAGCACUAUCACUGACGACACGCACUUGCACUUGAAACACUGAACUGGAGAGACGGUAUUCAAGUUUAUUUGCAUCUUUUGUUUUUGUUUUUCCUCUGAGCAUCACUGGAAUCAUUUUCAUCAUUCAUUUGUUCUUUCAUUCACUCAUUCUUUGAUACUGGACUUUGAUUUGAACGCCAUGGGAGAGAGCCCCUCACGAAACUGAAGUCAUUGUAGAGGCCGAGUAAGAAGCUGAAGCACUUCUACUGAACAACUUCGACGCGCUGGGUAAUGGAAGGGGGAGAUCAGUGAGAGGGUUAGUGUUUGACCGAGAGGGUUAGUGUAUGAGUGAGAGGGUUAGGGGUAAAGAUAAAGGGUUAGUGUUUGACCGAGAGGGUUAGUGUAUGAAUGAGAGGGUUAGGGGUAAAGAUAAAGGGUUAGUGUUUGACCGAGAGGGUUAGUGUAGGAGUGAGAGGGUUAGGGGUAAAGAUAAAGGGUAAGGGUUUGACCGAGAGGGUUAGAGUAUGAAUGAGCGGGUCCUCUUGUGAAGCAGCUCACAUGAAUGUAGAGUUAAAUAAUACAAUUAUUAAAAACCCUUUUUUUUUUUUUCUAGAGCAGCUUUCAUGUUGAUUUUCGGCCAUGGUUUUCUGGAAUAAUGCCUUUUAAAGAAAAAAACAAAAAAAAACAAACAAACUAAAAAAAAAACAGCUUUCAUGUUAAGUGCCUUCUGAGUUGUUUCCCAAACGUUUUUUUUAAAUAAUACUUUUCUAUUCUCACCCAGCAGUCACUGCUAAUCAACUGUAAUCACCACCUUUUACAAGCUUAAGAAAGUGCUUCACACCAAUCGUUCAUCUCCACUUGUAAAUCCAUUUUUUUAAUUUAUUAUAUAGCUUUAGUGAAGAGGAAUUUGAUCAAUCAGCCAUGUCAUGUACCUAAGAAGCCUUAAUGUAAAUAGCCUAAUACUUCCUGUAAAUAUUGUUUGAUUGUUUUGUGUUUUGUCAUUGUUCCUUUUCCCAUUGAAACAAAGGGGUGUUUUGUCUGAGAUACCCUGCACCAUAUUGUGUG